AGACGCACUCGUGCCAGCAGCCGCGGUGAUACGUAGGGUGCGAGCGUUGUCCGGAUUUAUUGGGCGUAAAGGGCUCGUAGGUGGUUGAUCGCGUCGGAAGUGUAAUCUUGGGGCUUAACCCUGAGCGUGCUUUCGAUACGGGUUGACUUGAGGAAGGUAGGGGAGAAUGGAAUUCCUGGUGGAGCGGUGGAAUGCGCAGAUAUCAGGAGGAACACCAGUGGCGAAGGCGGUUCUCUGGGCCUUUCCUGACGCUGAGGAGCGAAAGCGUGGGGAGCGAACAGGCUUAGAUACCCUGGUAGUCCACGCUGUAAACGGUGGGUACUAGGUGUGGGGUCCAUUCCACGGGUUCCGUGCCGUAGCUAACGCUUUAAGUACCCCGCCUGGGGAGUACGGCCGCAAGGCU
rnacentral:rRNA from 1 species